GUAGUCGUGGCCGAGUGGUUAAGGCGACAGACUAGAAAUCUGUUGGGGUAUUCCGCGCAGGUUCAAAUCCUGCCGACUACG
rnacentral:tRNA from 1 species